rnacentral:misc_RNA from 1 species
UUUGUUUAUACAACAUAAAAUAAUAUAUAUCUUUGUUUAAUCCAUGUCAAUAUAUAUUUUAUUUUUUAUGUUAUUUAAACAACACAUUCAAAAACACUAAUAUUUAAAAAAACAUAAAAAUAAAAUCAAGAAUUAAGGCAUAAAAAUAAAAACCCUGGCAAUAAC